rnacentral:rRNA from 1 species
AUGACACCACUUGCACCACAAAUUGAUCGGUUUUUUUUUUUUUUGCUGUGUCUGCCUACCUUCAUUAGGCAGUUCUUAAUUUGUAGAGUUCAAUCAACAUUAUUGUACAUGUGUGGCACUGAUGUAUUUAUCAUUUAUGCGGAUGUAUUUUGUAAACUGCCUGAAAUGAUGAAAGGAAAAACCAGUAUACCAAUUGUCAGCCCUGUGGACAUUUAUUUAGCUUGCGCUGGAUCAUUUGUGUUUGCCUCGUGCCUACACAAACAUGUGCCUACAAAAUUAGUUUGCCUCGUGCCUAACUUUGCACCUUAA